rnacentral:pre_miRNA from 1 species
AAAGUACUCCCUCCGUUCGGAAUUACUUGUCAAAGAAAUGGAUGUAUCUAGAUGUAUUUUAGGUCUAGAUACAUCCAUUUUCGAGACAAGUAAUUUCGAACGGAGGGAGUACAAA